GCUGGGGGCUUAGUGUUCACCUGUAGUCUCAGUUACUCAGAUGGCUUUGGCAGGAGGAUCACAUGAGCCCCAGAGUUCAAGCAUAGGCUGGGCAACAUGGUGAGACCCUGUCUCUU
rnacentral:sRNA from 1 species